CUUGACCCCUGUCGAAUUUCUAUGAAAAGCGGACGUUGUUUACAGGUGAUGGUGCUUUCUGUAAACUUACACUGGAUAGCGAGUGUAACCCAGUGGUAAAAUGUUCGCUUGAUGCACGGUCGGUCUAGGAUCGAUCCCCGUCGGUGGACCCAUUGGGCUGUAUCUCAUUCCAGCCAGUGCUCCACAACUGCUAUGUUGUGAGUCAUGCAAGAAGGUACAUGUACUAAUUAGUGGUGUGAUGGUGAAACGUUCAUUGUCGAGAAUACCUUCCACAUGAUGGAAUGUGUAUAGACUGACUGGAAACAAAUCUGAUGGAAGUGAUGAAUUCAGUCACUAAUUGCUGCCAAAUAUGGAUCACUGAUUUUGUUACGACCGGUCUUCAGUGGGAUGACAAAUGUGUUGUUUUGUUAUCAAAACAACAAAAUAGAAAACAUUUAAAUUUUUAAUAUGAAAAAUGUUUAAAAUGUUUGU